GGACCCGCACAAGCGGUGGAUGAUGUGGAUUAAUUCGAUGCAACGCGAAAAACCUUACCUACCCUUGACAUGGCUGGAAUCCCCGAGAGAUUGGGGAGUGCUCGAAAGAGAACCAGUACACAGGUGCUGCAUGGCUGUCGUCAGCUCGUGUCGUGAGAUGUUGGGUUAAGUCCCGCAACGAGCGCAACCCUUGUCAUUAGUUGCUACGAAAGGGCACUCUAAUGAGACUGCCGGUGACAAACCGGAGGAAGGUGGGG
rnacentral:rRNA from 1 species